AUGGGCUGCAUUAAAAGUAAAGAAAACAAAACUCCAGCCAUUAAAGAUAGAACUGAAAACCCUCCAGAACCUGUCAGUACAAAGUGUCAGCCAUUAUGGAGCAGAACCUUCAGCAAAGGGAACAUCAGUUAAUUUUAGCAGUCUUUCCAUAACGCCAUUUGGAGGAUCCUCAGGGGUGACACCUUUUGGAGGAGCAUCUUCCUCAUUUUCAGUGGUGCCAAGUUCAUAUCCUGCUGUUUUAACAGGUGGUGUUACUAUCUUUGUGGCCUUAUAUGAUUAUGAAGCUAGAACUACAGAAGACCUUUCAUUUAAGAAGGGUGAAAGAUUUCAAAUGAUUAACAACACGGAAGGAGACUGGUGGGAAGCAAGAUCAAUUGCUACAGGAAAGAUUGAUUAUAUCCCUAGCAAUUAUGUAGCGCCUGCAGAUUCCAUUCAGGCAGAAGAACGGUAUUUUGGCAAAAAUGGGAAGGAAAGAUGCUGAAAGAUUACUUCUGAAUCCUGGUAAUCAAUGAAGUAUUUUCUUAGUAAGAGUGAGUGAAACUACUAAAGGUGCUUAUUCCCUUUCCAUUCGUGAUUGGGAUGAAGUAAGAGGUGACAAUGUAAAACACUACAAAAUUAGGAAACUUGACAAUGGCGGAUACUAUAUCACAACCAGAGCACAAUUUGAAACUCUGCAAAAAUUAGUGAAACACUAUACAGAACAUGCUGAUAGACUAUGUCACAAAUUAACGACUGUGUGUCCAACUGUGAAACCUCAGACUCAAGGUCUAGCAAAGGAUGCUUGGGAAAUUCCUCGAGAAUCUUUAUGGCUAGAGGUUAAACUAGGACAAGGGUGUUUUGGUGAAGUAUGGAUGGGAACAUGGAAUGGAACAACAAAAGUAGCAAUCAAAACACUAAAGCCAGGUACAAUGAUGCCAGAAGCUUUUCUUCAAGAAGCUCAAAUAAUGAAAAAAUUAAGACAUGAUAAACUUGUUCCACUAUAUGCUGUCGUUCCUGAAGAGCCAAUAUACAUUGUCACUGGAUUUAUGUCAAAAGGGAGCUUAUUAAAUUUCCUUAAGGAAGGAGAUGGAAAGUAUUUGAAGCUUCCACAACUGGUUGAUAUGGCUGCUCAGAUUGCUGAUGGUAUGGCAUAUAUUGAAAGAAUGAACUAUAUUCACUGAGAUCUUUGGACGGCUAAUAUUCUUGUAGGAGAAAAUCUUGUAUGCAAAAUAGCAGAUUUUGGGUUAACAAGGUUAAUUGAAGACAAUGAAUGCACAGCAAGACAAGGUGCAAAAUUUCCAAUCAAAUGGACAGCUCCUGAGGCUGCCCUGUAUGGUCGAUUUACAAUAAAGUCUGAUGUGUGGUCAUUUGGAAUUCUACAAACAGAACUGGUAGCAAAAGGCAGAGUGCCAUAUCCAGGUAUGGUAAACCGUGAAGUGCUGGAGCAGGUGGAACGAGGAUACAGGAUGCCCUGCCCUCAGGGCUCUCCAGAAUCCCUCCAUGAUUUGAUGAAUCAGUGUUGGAAGAAGGACCCUGAUGAAAGACCAACAUUUGAAUAUAUACAGUCCUUCUUGGAAGACUACUUCAUUGCUACAGAGCCACAGUACCAGCCAGGAGAAAAUUUAUAAUCCAAGUAGCCUAUUUUAUAUGCAGAAAUCUGCCAAAAUGUAAAGAACUUGUGUAGAGUUUCUCAUGUACAGGAAUCAAGAGAAGAAAAUCUUUACUCUGCAUGUUUUUCAUGGUAAACUGGAAUUCCAGACAUGGUUGCACAAACCCACCUUUUUUCCCACAAGUGUUAAACUCUAAAGUACCAAUGAUGAAUUUUCCAACUUAUUUCAGGGUCCAAAGGAAACAGAACUAAGAUACUGGUGAUAGUGUGGUGUAAUAGCAUGGUAAUGAAGAACAGCGAAGCUACUGCUCAAAAAUCAUUCUUUCUUUCAUUCCCCAAACUCAGAAUUGUUAAGAGGAAAUUAUUUAUUGUUAUAGACAAAACUUGGGAAAUAAAAAGUUAAUAUCAUAAUAAUAUCUAAAAUUAAAGAAUGUCAUAGGACCAAAUAACUCCAUUCCAGUUUUUAAAAAUUUCUUGCAUUUAUUAUUCUCGAAAGUUUUUCUUAAGUUAAAUAGUCAGUAUGCAAUAUUAAUAUAUGCCUCCUUUUGCAUGGAAAUGGGCCAAGUUUUUCAGAAACAAAAAAGGAAUAUAGAUAGCAUCUAAAACUUGACUAAAUGUUAG